rnacentral:rRNA from 1 species
GGACCCUACGGGUGCCGCGUUCGGAAUGAGUACGAUUCGAACCACCUAACGAGGAACGAUCGGAGGGCAAGUCUGGUGCCAGCAGCCGCGGUAAUUCCAGCUCCAAUAGCGUACGUUAAAGUUGCUGCAGUUAAAAAGCUCGUAGUUGAACGUUCGGGUUCCGCGGGACGGGGCCGCCCCGCGAGGGACGGCGCCGCCCCGGGGCUCGUGAUAUCUCAUCUCGCCGCCCGUCGCGAGGCGGACGGAGGGAUGGAUGAGGUUACCUGGAAAAAAAUCGGGGCGAUCUAGGCGGGCGAACCUCGCCAACGAACGAUCGGACAUGGGAUAACGGAAGAGGGCGUCGGCUCGACUUCGUCGGUUCCUCGGGCCGAGGCACGUACGGUGAAUAGGGACGGUCGGGGCCGCCGUACCGGGUCGUGAGAGGUGAAAUUCUAGGAUCGACCCGAGACGAACCGCCGCGAAAGCAUUCGGC